UACGUAGGGGGCAAGCGUUGUCCGGAUUUAUUGGGCGUAAAGAGCGUGUAGGCGGCCACACAGGUCUGCUGUGAAAACUCGAGGCUCAACCUCGAGCUGUCGGUGGAAACCGUGUGGCUAGGGUCCGGAAGAGGAGAGUGGAAUUCCCGGUGUAGCGGUGAAAUGCGCAGAUAUCGGGAAGAACACCCGUGGCGAAGGCGGCUCUCUGGGACGGUACUGACGCUGAGACGCGAAAGCGUGGGGAGCGAACAGG
rnacentral:rRNA from 1 species